GGAUAUAGCUCAGUGGUAGAGUGUGUGCCUGACCUGCAGAAGUCCUGGGUUCAAUCCCCAGCACCUCCA
rnacentral:tRNA from 1 species